AUUGAACGCUGGCGGCAGGCCUAACACAUGCAAGUCGAGCGAGCGGCGGACGGGUGAGUAAUGUCUGGGACACUGCCUGAUGGAGGGGGAUAACUACUGGAAACGGUAGCUAAUACCGCAUACCCUCAGAUGUGCCCAGAUGGGAUUAGCUUUUAGGUGGGGUAACGGCUCACCUAGGCGACGAUCCCUAGCUGGUCUGAGAGGAUGACCAGCCACACUGGAACUGAGACACGGUCCAGACUCCGACGGGAGGCAGCAGUGGGGAAUAUUGCACAAUGGGCGCAAGCCUGAUGCAGCCAUGCCGCGUGUAUGAAGAAGGCCGUCGGGUUGUAAAGUACUUUCAGCGGGGAGGCGUUACCCGCAGAAGAAGCACCGGCUAACUCCGUGCCAGCCGCCGCGGUAAUAC
rnacentral:rRNA from 1 species